AUAACACAUUCAAGUCGAACGAAGCACUUUCGAUCAAGACUUCGGUCAAGAUAGGAUUUGACUUAGUGGCGGACGGGUGAGUAACGCGUGAGCAACCUGCCUACGGGUGCGGGAUAACGUCUGGAAACGGACGCUAAUACCGCAUGACGCAUAGAUAUUGCAUGGUAUUUAUGCCAAAGAUUAAUUGCCUGUAGAUGGGCUCGCGUCCGAUUAGACAGUUGGCGGGGUAACGGCCCACCAAAUCAACGAUCGGUAGCCGGACUGAGAGGUUGAACGGCCACAUUGGAACUGAGAUACGGUCCAGACUCCUACGGGAGGCAGCAGUGGGGAAUAUUGGGCAAUGGGCGAAAGCCUGACCCAGCGACGCCGCGUGAGGGAAGAAGGUCUUCGGAUUGUAAACCUCUUUCAGCAGGGAAGAAGGAAGUGACGGUACCUGCAGAAGAAGCCACGGCUAACUACGUGCCAGCAGCCGCGGUAAUACGUAGGUGGCAAGCGUUAUCCGGAAUUAUUGGGUGUAAAGGGUGUGUACGCGGGACUUUAAGUCAGACGUGAAAAUCAAGGGCUCAACCCUUGACCUGCGUUUGAAACUG
rnacentral:rRNA from 1 species